AUUGAACGCUGGCGGCAGGCCUAACACAUGCAAGUCGAACGAGUGGCGGACGGGUGAGUAAUGUCUGGGAAACUGCCUGAUGGCGGGGGAUAACUACUGGAAACGGUAGCUAAUACCGCAUACCAUCGGAUGUGCCCAGAUGGGAUUAGCUAGUAGGUGGGGUAAAGGCUCACCUAGGCGACGAUCCCUAGCUGGUCUGAGAGGAUGACCCGCCACACUGGAACUGAGACACGGUCCAGAGUCCUACGGUAGGCAGCAGUGGGGAAUAUUGCACAAUGGGCGCAAGCCUGAUGCAGCCAUGCCGCGUGUAUGAAGAAGGCCUUCGGGUUGUAAAGUACUUUUGGCAGAGAGGCGGUAUCUGCAGAAUAAGCACCGGCUAACUACGUGCCAGCCGCCGCGGUAAUUC
rnacentral:rRNA from 1 species